rnacentral:rRNA from 1 species
GACGAACGCUGGCGGCGUGCUUAACACAUGCAAGUCGAACGGGCCCGCCCCUGUUUUUGGGGGUGGGUUGAGUGGCGAACGGGUGAGUAUCACGUGAGUAACCUGCCCCCUGCUCCUGGAUAACUGCUUGAAAGGGCGGCUAAUACGGGGUGUGCCGGCUGGUCCGCAUGGGCCUGGUCGGGAUAGUUUCAUCUUCGGGUGUUUCGGUGGGGGAUGGGCUCGCGGCCUAUCAGCUUGUUGGUGGGGUGAUGGCCCACCAAGGCGGUGACGGGUAGCCGGCCUGGGAGGGUGGGCGGCCAGACUGGGACUGGGACCCGGCCCAGACUCCUGCGGGAGGCAGCAGUGGGGGGUAUUGCACAGUGGGCGGAAGCCGAUGCAGCGACGUCGCGUGAGGGAUGGAGGCCUUCGGGUUGUGAACCUCUUUCUCCGGUGGUGAAGGCCCUGUCCGUUGCGGCGGGGUUGACGGUAGCCGGGUAUGAAGCGCCGGCUAACUACGUG